rnacentral:rRNA from 1 species
GUGAACACGGAGCUUGCUCUGUGGGAUCAGUGGCGAACGGGUGAGUAACACGUGAGCAACCUGCCCCUGACUCUGGGAUAAGCGCUGGAAACGGCGUCUAAUACUGGAUACGAGUAGCGACCGCAUGGUCAGUUACUGGAAAGAUUUAUUGGUUGGGGAUGGGCUCGCGGCCUAUCAGCUUGUUGGUGAGGUAAUGGCUCACCAAGGCGUCGCGGGGUAGCCGGACUGAGAGGGUGACCGGCCACACUGGGACUGAGACACGGCCCAGACUCCUACGGGAGGCAGCAGUGGGGAAUAUUGCACAAUGGGCGCAAGCCUGAUGCAGCAACGCCGCGUGAGGGAUGACGGCCUUCGGGUUGUAAACCUCUUUUAGCAGGGAAGAAGCGAAAGUGACGGUACCUGCAGAAAAAGCGCCGGCUAACUACGUGCCAGCAGCCGCGGUAAUACGUAGGGCGCAAGCGUUAUCCGGAAUUAUUGGGCGUAAAGAGCUCGUAGGCGGUUUGUCGCGUCUGCUGUGAAAUCCGGAGGCUCAACCUCCGGCCUGCAGUGGGUACGGGCAGACUAGAGUGCGGUAAGGGAGAUUGGAAUUCCUGGUGUAGCGGUGGAAUGCGCAGAUAUCAGGAGGAACACCGAUGGGCGAAGGCAGAUCUCUGGGCCGUAACUGACGCUGAGGAGCGAAAGGGUGGGGAGCAAACAGGCUUAGAUACCCUGGUAGUCCACCCCGUAAACGUUGGGAACUAGUUGUGGGGUCCAUUCCACGGAUUCCGUGACGCAGCUAACGCAUUAAGUUCCCCGCCUGGGGAGUACGGCCGCAAGGCUAAAACUCAAAGGAAUUGACGGGGACCCGCACAAGCGGCGGAGCAUGCGGAUUAAUUCGAUGCAACGCGAAGAACCUUACCAAGGCUUGACAUAUACGAGAACGGGCCAGAAAUGGUCAACUCUUUGGACACUCGUAAACAGGUGGUGCAUGGUUGUCGUCAGCUCGUGUCGUGAGAUGUUGGGUUAAGUCCCGCAACGAGCGCAACCCUCGUUCUAUGUUGCCAGCACGUAAUGGUGGGAACUCAUGGGAUACUGCCGGGGUCAACUCGGAGGAAGGUGGGGAUGACGUCAAAUCAUCAUGCCCCUUAUGUCUUGGGCUUCA